rnacentral:rRNA from 1 species
GAUGAACGCUAGCGGCAGGCUUAAUACAUGCAAGUCGAGGGGCAGCAUGAUUGUAGCAAUACAAUUGAUGGCGACCGGCAAACGGGUGCGGAACACGUACACAACCUCCCAAUAAGUGGGGAAUAGCCCAGAGAAAUUUGGAUUAAUACCCCGUAACAUAACGAUGUGGCAUCACAUUGUUAUUAUAGAUUUUUCGCUUAUUGAUGGGUGUGCGGCUGAUUAGAUAGCUGGCGGGGUAACGGCCCACCAAGUCUACGAUCAGUAGCUGAUGUGAGAGCAUGAUCAGCCACACGGGCACUGAGACACGGGCCCGACUCCUACGGGAGGCAGCAGUAAGGAAUAUUGGACAAUGGACGCAAGCCUGAUCCAGCCAUGCCGCGUGAAGGAUUAAGGUCCUCUGGAUUGUAAACUUCUUUUAUAAGGGACGAAAAAAGGCUUUUCUAAGUCGUCUGACGGUACCUUAUGAAUAAGCACCGGCUAACUCCGUGCCAGCCGCCGCCGUAAAAC